rnacentral:rRNA from 1 species
AUGCACGCUGGCGGCGUGCCUAAUACAUGCCAGUCGCGCGAACAGACGAGGAGCUUGCUCCUCUGACGUUAGCGGCGGACGGGUGAGUAACACGUGGAUAACCUACCUAUAAGACUGGGAUAACUUCGGGAAACCGGAGCUAAUACCGGAUAAUAUAUUGAACCGCAUGGUUCAAUAGUGAAAGACGGUUUUGCUGUCACUUAUAGAUGGAUCCGCGCUGCAUUAGCUAGUUGGUAAGGUAACGGCUUACCAAGGCAACGAUGCGUAGCCGACCUGAGAGGGUGAUCGGCCACACUGGAACUGAGACACGGUCCAGACUCCUACGGGAGGCAGCAGUAGGGAAUCUUCCGCAAUGGGCGAAAGCCUGACGGAGCAACGCCGCGUGAGUGAUGAAGGUCUUCGGAUCGUAAAACUCUGUUAUUAGGGAAGAACAAAUGUGUAAGUAACUAUGCACGUCUUGACGGUACCUAAUCAGAAAGCCACGGCUAACUACGUG